rnacentral:rRNA from 1 species
GACGAACGCUGGCGGCGUGCUUAACACAUGCAAGUCGAACGAUGAAGCUAGAGCUUGCUCUGGUGGAUUAGUGGCGAACGGGUGAGUAACACGUGAGUAGCCUGCCCCGAACUCUGGGAUAACUGCUGGAAACGGUAGCUAAUACUGGAUACGACCAACGAAGGCAUCUUCUGUUGGUGGAAAGAAUUUCGGUUCGGGAUGGACUCGCGGCCUAUCAGCUUGUUGGUGAGGUAACGGCUCACCAAGGCGACGACGGGUAGCCGGCCUGAGAGGGUGAUCGGCCACACUGGGACUGAGGCACGGCCCAGACUCCUACGGGAGGCAGCAGUGGGGAAUAUUGCACGAUGGGCGCAAGCCUGAUGCAGCAACGCCGCGUGAGGGACGACGGCCUUCGGGUUGUAAACCUCUUUUAGUAGGGAAGAAGCGAAAGUGACGGUACCUGCAGAAAAAGCACCGGCUAACUACGUGCCAGCCGCCGCGGUAA